AAUAUUAAACAUUUUCAAGAAAACGGGGGCAAAAGGGAUAUUAGCUACAAAUACACAUAAGAAACAAUACAGCAAUAAGAACUAAGGUGCUGUGGCAUAUCAAGAAACUUGAAGUAACUACGUACAUAGGUACUUAUGAAGUGGACAGCUUGGACUUAUUUUUAGUAGGCGGCUUAAUACCUACAACAAUGUGUACUGGGAAACAAAUUAGCCCGGUCCAGUGCUGGUCGAGAUGCCCCGUCUGCCUGGGUCUGUGUGGGCGCCGGGGUCUGGGCGGGCACCGGUAUCGCGUCGAGGUCCUGCCUGGAGUUGAGACGGAUCUUGUGACCACCGUCCGGAGACUUGAGGAAGACAUUGCCAUCCUGUGUCCAGCAGUUUUUCAUGCCAAACCGGCGACGGGCUUCAAGGAAGAUGUCUCGUCUUCUCGCUGUCAGGAACUCGCAGAUGGAGAUCGCCGUGCCUUUGAGCACCUUUUUCUUGUCCCACACAAGUGCCCUUGUAGCCCUCUCACUAAACCGGACCAGAAUGGGACGUGGUCGGUCUGUCGCUGAAUGAGAGCCACUGUGAAGUCGGAAGCACUGUUUUAUCUGGGACUGCUUGAAGUCACUGAGACCGAGUUUCUCAACACACACAGCCGUCACAACAGUGGAGGUCUCUUCAUCAGGGGAAUCACUAACACCACGGAAGAGCAGGAACUUUCGUCUCCCCUGGUUGUCGAGAUCAUCGGAGACCUGGGCAACAGCUGAUAUCUGCGUCCUCAGGAGAUCGAGUGCUUGGAGCAUGCACUCCCUGAAGCUCCGGAAGUCUGCUGCCAGCUGAUCCAGGCUGGGAGUGGUGGUGCUGGUGGCGGCCAGGCGAGCAUCAAAGGCGGCCAGCCCCUGGCUCAUCAUGGCCUCCAACUUGUUGAUGGCAGCCACUGGGUCGGGUGAUGCCUGUGUGGGCUUGCUGUUGGUUCUCUUCUUCAUGUUGUGAUAGAUUUUUGAUGUGUCAGCAGUGGAUUGGAUGAAGUUGUUAAUUAAAGUGCAUAAGCCAGUAUCUUUUGUUUACUUUGAUGGAGUAAUAAGUAAGUAUACUUUUGGUAUAAACAGUGUUCAAAUAAACGUAAAUAAACAAGA